rnacentral:rRNA from 1 species
UACGUAGGGUGCGAGCGUUGUCCGGAAUUAUUGGGCGUAAAGAGCUCGUAGGCGGCCUGUUGCGUCCGCUGUGAAAUCCCAGGGCUUAACCCUGGGCGUGCAGUGGAUACGGGCAGGCUGGAGGCAGGCAGGGGAGAACGGAAUUCCCGGUGUAGCGGUGAAAUGCGCAGAUAUCGGGAGGAACACCGGUGGCGAAGGCGGUUCUCUGGGCCUGUACUGACGCUGAGGCGCGAAAGCUAGGGGAGCAAACGGG